GAUGAACGCUGGCGGCGUGCCUAAUACAUGCAAGUCGAACGAGCAGACGAGGACCUUCCUCCUCUGACGUUAGCGGCGGACGGGAGAGUAACACGUGGAUCACCUCCCUAUAAGACUGGGAUAACUUCGGGAAACCGGCUCAGAUCCCGGAUACUCUCUUCACCCGCAUGGUUCAGUGGUAAAAGACGGAUUUGCUUUCACUUAUCGAUGGAUCCGCGCAGCAUUAGUUAGUUGGUACGGUACCGGCUUACCAUGGCAACGAUGCGUAGCCGACCGGAGAGGGAGGACGGCCACACGGGAACUGAGACAGGGCGGAGACUUUGACGGUAGGCAGCAGUAGGGAAUCUUCCGCGAGGGGCGAAUGCCGGACAGUGCAAAGCCGGGGGAGUGAUGAUGGUGCGAGGACGGGAAAAGGAUGUAAGUAGGGAAGAUGAAAUGUGCAGUUAAUGAGGAAGGUCUUGACGGUACCUAAUCAGAAAGUCACGGCUAACUACGUG
rnacentral:rRNA from 1 species